rnacentral:rRNA from 1 species
ACUCCUACGGGAGGCAGCAGUGGGGAAUAUUGCACAAUGGGGGAAACCCUGAUGCAGCCAUGCCGCGUGUGUGAAGAAGGCCUUCGGUUGUAAAGCACUUUCAGUAGGGAGGAAGGUAGUGUAGUUAACACCUGCACUAUUUGACGUUACCUACAGAAGAAGCACCGGCUAACUCCGUGCCAGCAGCCGCGGUAAUACGGAGGGGUGCGAGCGUUAAUCGGAAUUACUGGGCGUAAAGCGCAUGCAGGCGGCCUGUUAAGUCAGAUGUGAAAGCCCGGGGGCUUAACCUCGGAAUUGCAUUUGAAACUGGCAGGCUAGAGUCUUGUAGAGGGGGUAGAAGUUUCAGGUGUAGCGGUGAAAUGCGUAGAGAUCUGAAGG